AGGUUAACCAGCGACAAAAAAAACCUAAACCUAUCGCCCGCUCCCUCGCGCCCCUGUUGCUCCCUCCUCGGUCCCGAUCUGGAUCGAGGGGACGAGGAGCUCCUGCCUCCCCGUCGGCCGGCCUCCUCCUCGCCCCGCCGCUGCGUCCGGCGCCGCCACGGCCUCUGGAGCCAGGGAAGCCAUGGCCUGAGCUUGGCCUCGAGGUCCCCGCCGCCGUCUCCUGCAGCUUCUGCCCCGCCGCCUCACCGCCCGAGCUCGCUGUCGCACCAACCUCGUGUCGAGCAUCCUACCCAUUGGCAGACAGAGAUCAUCGAUGGUUCCGUGUGGCCUUAACCCUGCACCCAUGCCCGCAAUUCUUCUACCUCCUCUCAGGAUGGGGAUUGCGAGUUAGGAUGUAAUUUUCCUGUUAAAGUGACACUCCAUGGUAUGUUUGCUUUGAGAAAUUUCUUCCUAUUUUUCUUUUUCUACAAUGUAGAGCACAGUUUAGACAUGUUUCCUUUCUUAAAUCCACCUAUUCCUGAAACUUUAUAUUGAUAUGGUCUUGGUGGUCUCUGGUUUUUGUAAUUAAUCCGAAGGUCUACCUUUCUGGUUUUAAUUACUUAUGUGUGUAUAGAUGCCCAUCUUUCCACAACGUGUUGUUCUUGCAGGAAUUCCUGUUAUAUCAAUGAAAAUCUUACAAGGUAAAAUGAUGGACCUGAAUGGUUCAGACAGACAUAUACUGCAUCAAUGGAAACAAGGGAUGUUCUGUCAAUCUGAUCUUAGUUCUACAGACCUCAGAGUUCUACAGCGACGCAGACUAGCAGCGACACCUCUCUCUAUUGUGCUUCUAUCUGUUCUGUGGAUCAAUUCAGAGUGUUGAUCGUUAUGGGUCGAUAAAAAAAUGUUCAGAAUCUGAUGCGUGGCAAUCAGAUGGUCAAAAAAGUGACGGUGUGUGACGAUCGGACGACCGGAUGAUCGGACGUCUUCUUCUUCAAGCUCCCAGCAUGCUGUACUCUCCAUCUAUUGUCUCUUUCGCACGGCGGGGUAGAGGGAGUUGAUCGAGGACCGCAGCGUCGGCCACCCAGGUACAAGCGCGUGGCGGCGACUGCGAUGCACAUCAGCCUACUGUUCUUCUACCGGUACACAGCGGCCAUGUGCCACCGCCGAGCCCUUCAUUGGCGUCCUCCUGGGACACCUCCAUGUAGCACCAAGGUUAAAAAAACACCCUGUUGUUGGUCCCUUUCAAUUGAAAUAUUCAUUUUACAUGCUCCGGUCAUAAGUUUGUGAUCUGCAAGGUUUAUAUGAAAAAGGAUUUCCAAUUAUGAUAAGUUGUAGCUUAUUGAUCCCAACUGUUAGACCAUGUGAGCUCACUGAUUUUGCCGUCUGAAUAUCUGUAGAGUGAAACAAACGUAGCAGUCGUAUGUCAUCUGCUUGCUGAGUUGCAUCAUUAGCCUGAGCAGAUAGCCAUCUUGCAUAUUGUUUGCCCCAAUAAUAUUUCUCAUUUUUUCUGAUGCAUCUUUUUCCCCCAUUGGAGUUAUGGUUAUCUUCUUACAUGGUUUACAUGUCAAUUUUGUAAACAAGGAACUGGUCAUAAUCAGCAAUCCUGAUUAGCUUAUGCUCAUUGCCUUGUAUCAAUUUUGAGUCUUAGUUUGUUCACCAUCAUCAAUAAGCGGGACCUUUCAUUUCUUCACAAAUGGGCCAACCCACCAAAUCGUUCAACUCAUCAACUCACAAAAUGCAUGACCAUCAAGCAAGCUAGCACAAGCUAUUUAACUAAAGAAAAGUCACUUUGUAAUGUGACUACAAAUUAGAUUACAGAGGGAAGUUUGCAAAUCACUAGCUCUGAAAGCAUAAAAUAUAUUUCAAUUUCUAGGCUGCUACAUUAUUUUGAAACAUGAGCUUUUUUAAAACUGAGUGUUUGACGUAGCUUGCUGUUAUUGUCAAACUGAAAUAGCGAGUAUAUAUAUGUUGCUUUUUGUUUAGGAAAGUGAAAAAAACAAGAUGCCAUUUGUAUGCCAGGAAUGGCAUAUGUGAACGACUCGGGUGGUAGUUUUUAGGGUGUGGCAAGGGGCAUUUUUUAUAAACUGCCAUGGCAGUUCUUUAAUUUAGUUCUAUUUUUUGAGAAACAGCCAUCCACAGGUUAUUGAUUGUGUGGUUCUGUGUGUGUUCACUGGGACCUCGUCACCAGCGAACGUUCGCCGGGUAUUGUUCAACAUGGCUCUUGAUAAUUUAAUGAUUCAAUCAAAUUUCAUUGCAAAGUACACUGGACCAGGCUUUCCUUCUUUCUAAUGCGGUCUUAGUUGGCAUUAAGUUGUGAAAUCCAAAUCCAUACAUUUACAGUUCCUUGUUGUUCUAAUUACACAAGUAUUUUCACAUAUUUUUUUGUUAACUAAUCUUCACACCGAACACCAUCUCAGUAACUAGACCUGAUAUAGUAGUUAGUUUUGGCAUUAGACACAACAACUUUGACAUCGAUAAUUUCCUCAUAUAUUUAGAGGACAAUAAACUUGUCUAGCAUUUCAUUAUGAGUUGCAGACUCUGAAAACAAAUGUAUGUGCCCCCUAAAUGAUUAAACAUGUGGUUUCUGAAUUAUGCAUGCUGACAUGCAUUGGCAAUCAUUAUUCAACAGUAUUCCUUUUCACUGAAAUAGUAACCAUGUAAUGCUUACGAUUUAAUCUGGUUAUCUAGACAACUAAAUGGGUUAAUGUUAUGUUUAAUUAGUAUCUUUUGGCAUAUGUAAUGCGUGGAAGGAAACCAGUGUCUUUUGAUUAGGGAUUUCUGGAGGUAACAUGCCUCUGACUGUAUGCACUGAAUUUCAGAUGCUCUGUUUAGAAGAUGUUUUCUUCAGUAGUACUACAUAUUUUUAUGAUUUCCUGUAACUUGCUGAUAUGGCACCGAUUUGCCGCAUGGUGUGCUACAACUACCCUCCAGGGGAAUAUUUGUUCAGAAUCUUCAGUCUUGUAAUUUUCUCCUUGAUGACAAUGACCAUGCUGUACUGGGGGAUAUGGGAUUCCAUCCUUGCUGUUUGGACUUCCGCUGCCAAAUCCAGAUCUUAUCCAAAGACUUGAGACUCCAAAUUACAUGCCCCAGAACAUUGGCGACCAAACAUCAGAGGCCCAAUUAGUUACGAGACUGACUCAUUGGGGUUUCGCUCGCAGCAUUCUUGAGAUGUUCAGUGGCGUUCAGACUUGGUGUGCCAAAUCACCAGAUGAGAUUUAUCAGUCAGUUGUCCUGAAGAAAGAGAAACCGAUGUUCCUAUACAAUUUACCUAUGGAGGUCGCUAAUGUCCUCUCUGGCUGCUAUGAGUAUGACUUUCGGGAUCACUCCUUGAUGUUAGAUAUCUUACAGUCAUUUGAAAGGUUGGAGGUGACACAUGAACGCUGGCAAUGCAAAAUAGCAGAUAUAAAAUAACUGCAGCUCAGGCCUUGUAGUUCUACAACAACCAAGGAAGAAGUCUGUUUUUUAAGCCGACCUCGGCCAAGCAAUUUAAGCUUAUAUGGGUGCUCUCUAUUUUUCAGAGGUGCGUGUACUGAGAACGCCUAUGAUUUAGGGCCAAAAAUCUAGACAAAGUGACAAAACUUUGUACGAGACUUACUUGAAGCCAGUGAUAGCCCGUUGAAGGAUGCCGAUUGUGGCUAUCCAACUACAACAACGUGCUUGCAACUCAUGAGUGGCAAAGUAUAACAUGCCGCCUUUAUUAAAGAAGCCCCUUCAAUUUAUGUAUGCAGAAUGCUGUAAAGAACUCAUGACAAAGCCAGAUCUGUAUGCAUGUCUUAAUGUAUUUUCAUACUGGCUCGAGUAAUGUACUCUUGCCCGCCCCACGACACCGCCUUUGUAGUGUAUUCUUGGUCGCGUGUUGCUCAAUUAGGUUAUUCUAUUUUCUUUUUCUUUUUUAUUCACAAUUGUUGGCAUGAAUUUGCCGUGCAUUUGGUCCUAUCAACAAUUUAAACCUGUCAAUCGAGAAAGGAUAUGCACAUCAUCAGUGCACUUCUAUUUAUUUUGAUUAUAAAUGAGUAGUUAAUUUGCUAAUUAAAGAUGUUUUCCUGUGGGUAUAUUCAUCUCAUUAGAAGGUUCUUUUAUGUGGCUUUGGUCUUUCUAAAUAUUGUGUGGGUUUUUUCCUUUCCUGGUUUAGCUUUGUGAAACAAUGAUUAUUCUAGCGCGUGAUCUACUCAUGCCUAUUUACCUUAUUGUAUAGUUUGUCAUUCUAGAACACUAGACCUUUCUCCACAGCUGAUAUGUUGAUAUGACAAGUUUAAUUUGCCUUUAGUCUUUGCAGAACUAAUUUUGCAUCCUAGGAAGGGGGCAAAAUGGUCUUGACCACCGGCAGACUCUUCUAACAUCUCACCGUCACUCCCACGGGUAGCGUUGUAAUCGAGUCCAGCAAUUCAACUUUUGAAAAUAACAUGUAGGCCGAACCAAGAGGGAAUAGUACAGUACUUCAUUUCACUCAGGAGAGCUUCGGUUAUAUGAAAAUUAAUUAAUUUUAAUAUGAAUUUCGAUAUUCAAUACCCACAUGAAUUGUAUAAGUUGCUUUGCUCGAGAUGUGCAUUGGACUGUAGUUUCAGGGAGCCCCGUCGCUUUCUUAUAGAAUUUUGUUCAGAUAUAAACAAAUAAACCUAGAUAUAGACAUGCAUCUCAAUCUCUUGUUUUAAAGUUAAACUGUUUGUAGAUACUUUUUGAUGUACCUUUCGAACCCAUAAACUCAAUGUUGUGCUUGUAGUGUUGGUUCUGGGUUUAGAAUCAAUUUAAUAUGUGGAUUGAUAUCCCACCAACCACAAAACGGAAUUUCUUCUUUGAUAUUCUGCUGGUUUUCUGGUUGAGGAUUUCCAACAAGAGUGAAUGUAUAAUCCAGCCAACCAACCCAAGAUGUUUACCAGCACCAUCACGAUGAUCUUUCUCAGCCUGCUCGACCCAAUCAGUCUUCUAAUAUUCAUCUCAUGGAGGGUCAAGAAAAAGACGUAAAACCAUAGCUUGCUACUUGGUUCCAGUUUCUGCAGCCACCAUUGAUAAGCAUGGGGCUGAGCAAAUGAGUAUCAAAGGCAAGUCAAGGAAACUUCGUCCUCUAGGCUGGUUGCGAUUUAGUUCUCUAGCAGCUUCAAUGCCAAGAUGAGGAGGUGGGAGAGGUGCCGCCCAAGGAGGUCAGGGGAGGAGGGCAACAAGGCUGGGGAGCGGAGGCGGAGGCUGACGAGGAAGAGAAUGAUCAAGCAUGUAAAUCUAGAGCACAAGCUCAUGAUUUAUCAAGGGAGUGGCGCUGCCGCCGGAGUAGAAAAUCAUAUCUCACAUUAAGGUGUUUUUGUCUUUUGUUUUUGUACAAAUUUGGUGCAGGCAAAAUUUUGAUGAUACAUAUAAGAUGACUAGCAUUAUCUUUUUAUUGAGUGCA